UUUUUUUUUUUUUUUUUUUUUUUUUUUUGAUUCUGAUGCAAUUUGUGCAA
rnacentral:ribozyme from 1 species